rnacentral:ncRNA from 2 species
GUACGUCUUCAGGGCGGGGUGUAAUUCCCCACCGGCGGUAUGCGUUGGGUUUCCAUGACCGACGCGAGCCCGCGAGCGCCCGUGAGUUUUGAUCGUGAUCUUCACGAAUCAAAUCACGGGGUCAGCAGAUCUGGUGCGAUGCCAGAGCCGACGGUCAUAGUCCGGAUGAGAGAAGAUGUGC